AUCUAGCUGAUGAGUCCCAUAUAGGACGAGGCAUACAUCCUGGAU
rnacentral:hammerhead_ribozyme from 1 species